rnacentral:piRNA from 1 species
UGACAAAUAGUGCUUUCCAGAUGUGGAUA